UGUCCGCAGUGCAUUGUAUUUACAGGGCUUUUCGGGGUUUCUGCCGGUCACCCGCCGCCACCGGGGAAAUAUUUUUAUUCCCCCUCUGCCGCGUAACUUGGCUUCUGUUUUCUUGUUGUUGUUUUUUUCCUCCUGCCUUUGUAGAUGUUGGCUGCGGCCAGGGCCAAGUCACGGGGCAGGCAGGAUGUGCUGCUUCUGCGGAGGUACAGGCAUGCGAAUAAAUGACACGGAUUUCUGCAGCUUCGCCGGGCUCUGGCAGGUGUUACUCAGAUAAAGCCCAAGCAGAGAUUAUGCAGCAGAUUUGACCACACAGAGGCUUCACAAAUGCUUGAGGUCCAGAUGCAAGUUGCACCUGAUGCAAAUGAAGGAAAGCUCUGAUGAACAGCAGAGACAGAGAGCAAACAUAUUUUUUAAAUGUAUACACCUUGAGUGUAUUUCCCAGCAUUUGAGCCUUGCUGAGGCAUCACUGCCUUCCCUUGGAGCAAUACAAGCCAUUCGUGAAGUUUCUGUGCUGAACUGUGGGAAUAGAGAGGCAAGAAGCUGUGACCCCUGGGUAAGAGCAUGCUUUGGAAACACCAUCAUCAAAAAAUGAACACAUCAGCCCAGAAGGCCCACAGACAGCUGAUCCUCUCCAGCCUUAUCAGAGAGAGAGCUCCUGUGGAUGCUGAGGCAGCAGCCACCGGACAUUUUUGAGAUGUUUAUUCUAUCCUGUGUUGAUAUGAAGUCAAUACGAUAACUAAAAAUAAAGAUUAAAAAAAAAGUACACAGCAGCUAUUUGUUCCUGAAUUGUUAUGUUUACCCAUACCAGCCCAGAUUUCCAUUUAGGCAGGCCUGUAGUCCCAGAUGUUCAGUCAUUUUCAGCAACACGGUCAUAUCCCAGAAGAUUUAGCCUGCUGGAGCAACUAUAUUAAACAUGCCUGUAAUUUUCCACUGUAACUGGAAGAUUGCAUUCCUCAGAGGUGAGCAAUCACUGACUGGACAGGCCCCGUGCACAUGCAGGCAGCACAGCUCUGAGUCCUCUGCAGCCUCUCACCAGGGCAGGAGGGCACAGCACUUCUGUAGCCCAACAAGGCUUGAUCUGGGAUGAGGAGGCUCCCAUCAGCAGCACUCCCUAGGAGAGGUGGCCAUGCAGCUGGACAUCCCUGGCCAGUUGCUGCUGCAGGGAUGGAUGUUGCUGGGCCUGAAGGUGGCUUCUCUGCUGGCCCUCCUGACACUCAGAGCUGUAGGCUUUUUGCAUCACCUCUGUUGAGGUGAUCCAAAGAGAAAAAUGGCCUUUAACUGAAUAAAAACAGAUGUUUCACCCAAUCACCUCCUGCUUCCUGAUGAAUGGGCUGGGCAGAGGCACCCAUCACAAGGUCCUGCACAGCUGCGGAGUCUC